ensembl:snRNA U6 U6 spliceosomal RNA
GUGCUUGCUUUGACAGCACAUAUACUAAAAUUGGAGCCAUACAGAGAAGAUGAGCAUGGCCCCUUUGCCAGGAUGACAUGCAAAUUCAUGAAGUGUUCCAUAUUUUU